ACCUGUUUUGUGAUAAUUGCUAUAAUAAUUAUCCAAUUUUAUCCGAUUAUCUUUGAUCUUAUUUCGCCAUUGGAUGAACCACGACCAUGCAAACUUAUUAUUGGGCUGGAAUAUUUUGUCCCACAAGAUAAAUAUUUCAUCACCAAAGCAUUGCACGAACUCAUAAGUGCAAUAAUAUGUGGGUUAAUAAUGUUAACCACGGCAACGCAAAUGUUAAUAUUUAUCGUGCAUUCUAUCGGGAUGUUUAAAAUUGCUAGGUGACGAUCGAUUUAUAUCGGCGAUUCGAUCACGAAUUAAUAUUAAAAAUAUUUGCAGUUAUCGAGUAAGAUAUUCCCUAGAGGAUAGCGUACUGUACAUGUCAAAUAUGGAAAAAGAACGCGCAAUUUACGAAAGCAUAAUGCAAAUCGUAAUUGCACACCGCAAAGCUAUGAAAUCCUCCGAUGUUGUGAUUUCAAUAUUUAAUGUGCCAGUUAGCAUAAUAGCUAUACUUGCAGUACUUUCGUUGAGCACGAAUUUAUUUAGAUUUCUUGAAGCGAUAAAUUUAAAAGACACAGUCGAUCUAGGAAUAUCU